GGGCGCAAGCCUGAUGCAGCCAUGCCGCGUGUAUGAAGAAGGCCUUCGGGUUGUAAAGUACUUUCAGCGGGGAGGAAGGGAGUAAAGUUAAUACCUUUACUCAUUGACGUUACCCGCAGAAGAAGCACCGGCUAACUCCGUGCCAGCAGCCGCGGUAAUACGGAGGGUGCAAGCGUUAAUCGGAAUUACUGGGCGUAAAGCGCACGCAGGCGGUUUGUUAAGUCAGAUGUGAAAUCCCCGGGCUCAACCUGGGAACUGCAUCUGAUACUGGCAAGCUUGAGUCUCGUAGAGGGGGGUAGAAUUCCAGGUGUAGCGGUGAAAUGCGUAGAGAUCUGGAGGAAUACC
rnacentral:rRNA from 1 species